rnacentral:rRNA from 1 species
AUUGAACGCUGGCGGCAUGCUUUACACAUGCAAGUCGAACGGUAACAGGCCUUCGGGCGCUGACGAGUGGCGAACGGGUGAGUAAUGCAUCGGAACGUGCCCAGUCGUGGGGGAUAACGCAGCGAAAGCUGUGCUAAUACCGCAUACGAUCUAUGGAUGAAGGCGGGGGACCGUAAGGCCUCGCGCGAUUGGAGCGGCCGAUGUCAGAUUAGGUAGUUGGUGGGGUAAAGGCUCACCAAGCCAACGAUCUGUAGCUGGUCUGAGAGGACGACCAGCCACACUGGGACUGAGACACGGCCCAGACUCCUACGGGAGGCAGCAGUGGGGAAUUUUGGACAAUGGGGGCAACCCUGAUCCAGCAAUGCCGCGUGCAGGAAGAAGGCCUUCGGGUUGUAAACUGCUUUUGUACGGAACGAAACGGUCUGGGUUAAUACCCUGGGCUAAUGACGGUACCGUAAGAAUAAGCACCGGCUAACUACGUGCCAGCCGCCGCUGUAAGAC